CAGCUUCCAUGAUUCAGCAGCAGGACUGAAGGUCAGCCUCUUGUCUAUUAAUAUUUAAACAGCCAAGAGUAGCUAAAGAGGAGAAGCUUAGAUGCUCAUUGAUUCUUCCAGAGAGAUUCAAAAUUGGUUAUGCAAAAUAGCAAAAUCUACAUAUGAAGCUGAUUUUCUUUUACUUUCAUGAAUUAGCAGAUCAGAAAUAAAUGAAAUUUUCAAAUAUCAGACUGGAAACAACGCUCAGAAUUCCUAUUUUUUCCAUAAAGAAACAUUUAAAAGGAAAGCGUGCAGAGCCAAGCCUGACUUCAGCCAGUCAGAGAUUCUACAGACUGAGGUUAUGUCAGGCCAUUCCUUAGGUAGAAUGUGGCUAUGAAUAUCAAUUUUCAUUUUGGAAGUAUCACAGGAGAAGCACUCCUCCAAUGAUAAUGUUUUCUGUGUGAAUGCUACUGCCCUUCCUGUCCCUGGUUCACAGGUUAUUAACUUUGGCUGCUGUCCAGAUCCACCUGCUGCUGUACCAGGAAAGCUUGGUACAGUGGCCAACCAGGAGGCCUAAAUCCCAGAGGAGUGGCUCUCUAAAAGAACAAAGGCUUCUAGCAGAAAGUCCCUGUUAAUGCACAAACUACAGCUGACUGUGGGCAAAGGGAAAAUACGUGUUUAUAUUGGCAGUAUGAAGGGAUUUAUUUUACACAGAAGCUAAAAUGAAAAUUUGUGGUUGAAAAUCACUCAAUAAAAUCAAAUUAGAAUAGA